CGUCCCGAGUAGAAGCAACAGGUUAAAGGAAAAUAUGAAUGUUUUUACAGCCAUAACACCGAAGGAAUUGAUGUAGGAAACACCACUGUAGAAUGUGAUACUAUUUGGGUACUAGAGACUGCAGGGGUUCGUAGAAAUAAAGAUAAAGCGUUGAUAAUGAAUAGAAAAGUGUUGUGUCGUAAAAUAACUCAGGUUGCGCCAUCUCUUAUUAUGCUAAACAAUCAGGACAGAGGUAUUGCGGAUAACUUCUGGAUGUGUGGAAAAAACUAUCUGUUGAAUGUAUUGCCAGAUGGAUGGACUGGUCUUUGUGCCUUAGAGCAAUUCAACAGGUUACCAUUAUUAAAUCACCCCAUGAUGACUAUGUUAACCCUAGAGUUAAAAGGGCGUAUGUGAAAGACCCUGAGGUAUACCUUGAUGCAAUUGGACAGUGUUGGUGUUUACAUACUGGAGAGGGAAUGCAAAACAACGACGCUGGACAGAGUGGAAUCAGGGGCCUGUUGCACAAAAGUAGAAUUAAGACAUCCGGGAUAAAUGACUCAGCUGAGCUCAAUGAAGCCAAAACAUGUGCGUCCAGGCUUAAUUGGUUGCACAAAGACCAAGCCAGGAUGAGCAGACACGGAUUCAUUAAGCCAGGUGAAACCAAUCCUGGAUAGGUGCGCGCUCACGGCUCACUCAAAUAGACCCCGCCACAGAUCACAGAUUAACUGAUUUACCAUGGCAACUAGAGCCGCGUACUUUUCCCCGUCGGAAGCACAAAUCCUCAUGGAGGCAUACGAGGAGGUAAAAUAUAUAAUUAAGAAGAAAGGCAACACCGCCACAGUGAUAAAGCAAAGAGAAAAAGCGUGGCAAAGUAUUGCAGACCGCCUGAAUGCAUUAAACAUGAACGGGCCAAAACGGACAUGGCAGCAGGUCAAAAUCAAAUACAAGAACAUUCUGCAGAAUGCAGUGAAAAAGAAUACCCACAGACAAGGCACGGGUGGUGGGUCACCAAAGGCUGACCUUACCCCAGCAGAGGACAUGGCCUUGGAGCUAAAUAAAGGCAGGCCCGUCUUAGAGGGG